CUCUGUGACUCCUACGGGAGGCAGCAGUGGGGAAUAUUGCACAAUGGGCGCAAGCCUGAUGCAGCCAUGCCGCGUGUAUGAAGAAGGCCUUCGGGUUGUAAAGUACUUUCAGCAGUGAGGAAGGUGGUGCAGUUAAUAGCUGUAUCAUUUGACGUUAGCUGCAGAAGAAGCACCGGCUAACUCCGUGCCAGCAGCCGCGGUAAUACGGAGGGUGCGAGCGUUAAUCGGAAUUACUGGGCGUAAAGCGCAUGCAGGUGGUUUGUUAAGUCAGAUGUGAAAGCCCCGGGGCUCAACCUCGGAAUUGCAUUUGAAACUGGCAGACUAGAGUACUGUAGAGGGGGUAGAAUUUCAGGUGUAGCGGUGAAAUGCGUAGAGAUCUGAAGGAAUACCGGUGGCGAAGGCGGCCCCCUGGACAGAUACUGACACUCAGAUGCGAAAGCGUGGGGAGCAAACAGGAUUAGAUACCCUGGUAG
rnacentral:rRNA from 1 species